GUGCGCGACCCCGAGCUGACGCGCGGCCCUGUUUCAGCUCCGAGGGCGGUGUGACGCGCUGCGGCGGCGGUGUUCGCGAGCUGAGAGGCGAGACGAAGUUCAGGGUAUUUUGGGGGGAAUUUGGAAGAUUUCCGGACACUGCGCUGGCUGUAAGCGGCGCACUCAGCUCCUGGCUCCGGCGGGCUCCCUGCACACCAGCACCGUUACUCGGGCCACGGACACGGCAUGGACACCGGGGGGCCGCUGGAGCGCUCCUGCUGGGGCGCUGAGGAUGAGCUGCAGUGGAGGAGGGACGGCCUGGAUCUUCCCCCAGACCGUGAGUAGGGUACAGGGGCAGAGGGGGAUUCGCGGGGUCUUCACCUUGCAGUAGGGGGGCAAU
rnacentral:lncRNA from 1 species